CUCAGGAUUUGCUGCGUGGGUUACCUCGCUGCUCGCAUCCAGCGCCAGUCUCUGCAUUUCGUAAGGCCGGUCCUGCUACCACCACCACAAUCAUCAUCAUCAUCAUCACCAUCACCAGAUACGGUUCAUCUUCGUCUCUUUUUCUAACGGAAGCUGUUUGCGUGGGUGAGCGCGUCUUGUCCACCUUGCACUGGCGGAAAGUGUCGAGGAUGGCCGAGAGCGAGGCAGACACGCCAAGCACACCGAUCGAGUUUGAGAGUAAAUACUUCGAGUUUGACGGAGUGCGGCUGCCGCCCUUCUGCAGAGGAAAGAUGGAGGAGAUCUCCAACUUCUCCCUGAGAAGUAGCGACAUAUGGAUAGUCACCUACCCGAAAUCAGGAACCAGUCUGUUGCAGGAAGUUGUGUUUCUAGUGAGUCAGGGGGCAGAUCCUGACGAGAUUGGGCUCAUGAACAUCGAUGAACAGCUGCCUGUCAUAGAAUAUCCUCAACCAGGGCUGGAUGUUAUACAGGAGCUUACAUCACCUCGCUUGAUUAAAAGCCAUCUUCCCUACCAAUUUCUCCCUACAGCUAUGCACAAUGGAGAGGCCAAGGUUAUCUACAUGGCCAGGAAUCCCAAAGACCUGGUAGUGUCCUACUAUCAGUUUCACCGUUCUCUCAGGACCAUGAGCUACCGUGGAACUUUUCAGGAAUUCUGUCGACGCUUCAUGAAUGAUAAAUUGGCAUAUGGUUCUUGGUUUGAACAUGUUCAGGAAUUUUGGGAACAUCGUAUGGACUCCAAUGUCCUCUUCUUGAAAUAUGAAGACAUGUUCAAGGACCUGGGGACGAUGGUGGAGAAGUUGGCCAGGUUCCUCUGUGUUUCCUGUGACAAAGCUCAGCUGGAAGUUCUGGUGGAGAACUGCAACCAACUUAUUGAGCAAUGCUGCAAAUCUGAAGCACUGUCUAUCUCUAGCUUGAGUUGAAAUCUGGUGUCAGACAAGUUGCUCUGAUCUGUGUCAUACACGUCACAGCAGGUCGUGUGGGUGUGUGGAGGGAUGUCUUCACAGUGUCUAUGAAUGAAACAUUUGAUGCUUAUUACAGACAGAAGAUGGCCAAAUCCGACCUAACAUUUGACUUCUGCCUGUGAGGAUUUCAGCACUCCUCCCACCAAAGACUCCCACCUCCCCAACAACACUGAUCUGUACACGUGCUCAUAUCUUGAAGAAAUUCGUGCUUCAGUACAUCUCCAUCAGCUCAGUCAGUCGCAAGUUUAACUGUGUAGUUUGAUAGUGGGAUGACUUUUAAAAAAGGUUUCUAAUAAUGCAAUCUGUUUCAAAGAAAUCACACACUUACUGCCUGAUAGAAAUCACUGUGCAAAGUAUCAAAUAUGGCUGAACAAUCAAACUUCUCAACCACAAUAUUCACCUUAUGUUGCUGCUGUGUGCAGUAAACACUAGGGCUUUAGGGCAUUUGGGCUAUUCUGAAAGGGUAUUCGGGAGAGGUAUUCAGGCCAUACAGUAUUUGCAUCUAUAUUUCUUCAGUUUUGAAGCAAAUAUUUUCAAACUUCCACCUGGACUCUGCCCUUGUGCCGAAGAAUGUCCAGCCCCUCGCAUAACAAGUCAAAUCAUGUCGAGUUCAACAUCUACAAAAAUGGUGUUGGCUUUUCAAUAUUUCUACUAUCAUUACAUCUUUGAAGUAGAAUAUGAAUGUGUUAGUGCACUGGUUCAUUUAACAGAUGUUCCUCAACAUUCACUGAUACCUCAGGAACUUGACAAAUGUGAGCACUCAUCUGAAUGCUGAUUUGGUCUCCAUUCAAAUUUUCCUAACAAAUAGCCUCUUCCAAUAAAUGUUAGGUGAACUGUUUUGUGCAGAAUAAUGUCACCUGGUUAGAUUCUAGCACAUUAAAAGCAGAAUAGAAUAUAAACUUAGCACAAAAUAAGGACAUUUGAUUGGUUGAUUGUUUCUAUUUUGAAACAAUACUUGUUGGUAAUAAAUCAUAGAACACUGUAAUGUAAUUUUUCUCCUUUUAAAUGGUCCCUCGUCUGUAAGGAAACACAUUUGUGGGUUGAGCAGCAGAGCUUUGGAAAACUGGGCAGAUUCUCUCUGCCUAUGCAAACAGCUUAUUCUGCUGUCAACCACUGUUUGGUGUUGGACUAUUGAUCGAGAGCAACAGUUAGAGGAGGGAAGUUCCACUUUGAGUAACCAAGGGGGUCAAACUGACUUGAAACAUUCUAAGGUACUGGAAAUUUUAAAAUAUAGUUAACGAAAAGGACCUGGAAGAAAUAUUUGUUUAAUGCUAAAAUGUCUAGGAAUUUAGCUUUAGUGUUCCCUUCAUAAACUCCACUAAGAAAUUAUAUAAAUAAUCAGUUAUAUAAAUGUAUAUAUCAGUCUACAAUCAGUUUUACUUACUAAAGUGUGCUUCUAUGAAAUAUAUAAACUACAUUUCCCAUCUACGGAUAUUCAUUCAUCAGUUAAUUCCCACAGACAAACCCGUAUGUUUCUACCAUGUAGCACGGUUCAAAGUGUCCCAGCGGUGCACCCGAAUAGCCAAAAGUGUACAGCUGCUAGGGUAAAUGAAUAAAUAUAUGGCCAAUCAGUGUAUCUAAUUCCUGGCCUGGACUAUUGUCCCAGUCCACCCCUGACUGGAUGAUUAUAGAGUAAGAAACAAGACAUGUUGGUAAUUUAGCAGUUCAUCAAACAGGUCCUCAGUAAUAGAACUAUAGACAACCACCACAGCCAGGCAACUCCUCCUUGUGCAGGUCACCAGCUUUGUCACAUACUGUUGGGGUUUGCAUCCCAUCCUUGACAUCCCAGCAUGUCACAGUUCAGUCAUUGUGGUUGUUGGUCGCUCUGCUGUCAGCAGCAUGUCCAAGCUGAUUCAAUAAGGUAGAGGUUAGCUCUGCAGACAGACCAUCACAAACUCUCUACUAACCAGUUCUGGAAGUAGUGUCUGAUAAAGCCUGGGGGCGAGUAUUGACAUCUUGGAAGAUGGAGUGUGGCCCCCAAGAGUGGAAGAAGUUAAGAUUGCUACUGGCUGCAGAACCUCAUAUCAAUAUCUCUCUGCAUUAAGAUUACAACCCUUGUUUUUUUCAGCGAGGGAGAUGCCACCCCACCCAACGAUGCCUCCACCAAAAGGUGUUUGACAUUGGCAGGGAGAGUUUUUAAAUGAAGUUUUUUAUGAGCGCAGCCCACAUAGCAGACUCUGCUGCUCAACCCACAAAUGUAUUUUCCUUACAAAGUGCCACAGAACAAAUGGGGGGAAAAAGAGGCUUUCUAACAGUAUAGGAGGUAUUGCCAAGAAACGUUUUUACAACAAUGAAAAAGUCCACCAACAAAGGCAAAUUUAUUUCUAUAUUUUGUCCUGCGUUUAGUGGGAGAUAAUUGAGAAGUCUUUGAGUGGGUUGUUUUAUAAGAGUUACAAUGAGAAACCACUUUCACACUAUAAAUUGUUUUUUGACCACCCAACAGCUUUUUAUUAUUUAUCUUUUAAACUUUAAAUGUAAAGUUAUAAUUGACAGCUUUAGUAACAGGUGAAGAUAUUACCAUCUUUAAGGGCCACCUAGUAUAUUUCACCCACAAACAUCUGUGCAUUGUUUUUGCUCAUAGCUGGAAUACUAAAUUUUGUUUACACUGGAAAGAUACAAGAAAUAAAUAUGAACAUAGGAAUCAAUGCAAAAGUAUUCACACUACGUGAACCUUUUCAUAUUUUGUCACAUUGCAACCAUAUACUACAGUGUAUUUUAAUGGAAUUUUAAGUAAUAGUAGUACAGUAGUACAUAAAUGUGAAAGGGAAAGAAAAUGAUACAUGGUUUUCCACAUUUUUCACAAAUACAAAAAUCAAGAAACCAAACCUCUAAAACAAUGCAGUAUCUUCAUAAGUCAUCUAAUUUGUAAAUAGAUCUGUGUGUAAUUAAACUUAGUAUAAAUCCA